rnacentral:snRNA from 1 species
GUCCCUUCGGGGACAUCCGAUAAAAUUGGAACGAUACAUAGAAAAUUAGAAUGGCCCCUGCGCAAGGAACCGACAGUGUAACGUGUCAUUUCAUA